GAUGACUUUCCAAACGUUUAGGCCUGUUUUCCUUUUUCCAUGAGAGGAAAAGCAUGGGAGAGAAAUAUGCUCUUUCAUUAUCCUUUGGGGAAAAAAGGUGCCCAUGAGGGAAAAAUUCAGUGCAGGACUGAGAUGUUCUUCCAUUUUUCUUUUUGAGAAUAAAGGUGCCUGUGAGGAGAAAAACUCACACCCUCAGGAAGUGGAAUCCAGAAGCAAGACAGAUUUUCUCCUCAGAAGGUGGAAUCCAGACACACCCAUGUUAAGGUACACACAGACACCAACCAGGAUGAACCUCUGCCAAAGCAGAUGUUUACAGUGGAGUCAGAGCCAGAAGAACCUGGACUGCAGCCACCCCAGUGAGCAGUCGAAAGAAGGGGAAAUCCCUCUGUAACAUUAAUAAAGAACUGAAAAUUCCACAAUUCUUGAAGCUUUCUUCCCUGCUACAGUGUCUGCUCUGACAUGACCAAAAUUCCCCAUCAACUUAAAGGGAACUUCCUGAGAAAAAUGUAUCUUGGAUUUCCCUGUCACUGUGGGUUAUACAUCAUAACCUGUAACAGCAGGAAAGCUACAACAUGACAUGCAGGGACAGUUUAUUUCCCCGCUUCUUUUACAUACAAAAAAAGGUAAUGGUUGCAAAAGAAAUAAGAAAAACAAUGAGACAGGUAAGUCAACUAAAUCCCAAAUAUUCAAAUAAUGACCUUUCAUCCCUACUAUGAUCCUGUUUUAAGUGGAAGUCAAAAUUUUUGCAGUGGAGAUUAUAUAACUAGAUUUGCUUUAUA